GCUGGAUCUGGAUCUGGAAAAUCCCCUCGGUUGACUUUUGACCUAAUAUUCCAGUUUUUCGUGCUGUGUUUGACCUGCCAUAUCUUUGCAUCCGUAGCUCCGAUUUGGGCAUAUGAUAUAUCAAAAUCUUCGUCUCGACGAGUACAUCAUUUCAUUCCAUUGCAUCAUUUGCAUUUGAGGUCAUCUUGGUGCCCAAAAUGCUGUUGGAAGGAGGCAUCAUGAGUUAAAUUGCAGAUCCAUUAGUUCAUCAUGCACUUUUGUCAUUUUUGCCACGUUUAAUCCGUGGAUGAUAUGCCUGUGCCCCUUUGGGAUGAAUUGUUAAGCAUGUUGUCUUCUUUCCAGAGGUGCCUCCCAUGCAUUUUUAGGAUGUGUGUGUUGUCUUGUGCAAGCUUGCGAAGUAGGGUACCUGAGUUUACUGAUUUCAGGGACUUAGUGAAAAUCACUAAGUCUGGGAUGUUUUAGUGCAUGAUGCUAUAUGUCCAGCUUGUUUCCUAGUGAUCCGUGCCUCUUUUGAGGAUGAUCAGUAAGAGUGGUUUGUUAUGCUUGUUGUGCUUAAUCCAUCCAUGUCUUUACUUGUUAUGUUGGAGCACCCUAGGUUGAAUCAAUCGAGCUCAACUUUUGCAUAGUUGCUGUUUUGGGCAGAUCGUGAACUCUUUUGCGAUUUUGCCGGAGUUAUUGCUAGUGAUCCAUGCAUGCUAUGCCAUUGUUCUUGCCAUGUCUAGCUAGUAUUUUGUGCCUUCUUAAUGGAUAUAUGCUUGCCUUGCCAUUACUUGCACCGUAGUGAGUUUAUCGAGCUCGUUUACAUGCCUCCGUGAGUUAUAUUUCAGCAUGUCCCAGUUUUCACUAAGUCUGAAAACUGAUUGUGUUUCAUCGAUGUUCGUGUGCUCGGUAGAGUAUUUUGUGAACUCUUUUGGCCCCAGGUCAUUUUGGGUGUUUUGUUAAGCUUGUUGAGUAGCUCCAUGCCAUGAUCUUACUUGCCAUGUUCAGGUUUCGCUUCAUGUUAUUUUGCUGCUCCGAAGAGAGCAUCGUGGUCUGAAAUUCCAGACUAGCGUUAAUUUCGCUAAGUCUGAAAUCUGUUUUGCUUAUUCAGUUUUGCCAUGCUUGUUUGAAGCCCUUAAUGGAUGAAUUUGCCUAUGCCUCAGUCCUGGUGAUUUGUUAAGCUUCUUGAGUACAUCACUGCCAUGCAAUUUGUUUUCAUGUUUCGUCGCUGUAGCAUGUUCAUUUCCUUGCAUGUAGGAGCCUACUUGCUGUAAAUCGCAGAUCGGUUCGUUUAGUAAAACGCUUGCCAUUUCCAAACCGUAGCUCCGAUUGCCAUGAUCUUUAUAUCGUUUUCAGGGGAUUUCUUCCCCUCUAUCCAGUGGCACACUUGGUUUUCCAAGUUGAGGCCAGGUUCAUGCAUUUCCUGGCAUUUCCUGUCACGUCUUGCAUUUUGCUUCCCGCAUCGCAUCCCGCAUAGCAUAUCAUCUUCGCAUCUUAUUGGUUGCCCUUGCACGUGGUUGAUUGUAUCCUUGUUGCUUGUUUGUGUUGUUGGGUAGAGCCGGGAGACGAGUUCGCUAACGAGGAGCCCGUUGAGUUUGCUUUUGAGGAUCCAGUCAACUCUGACAACUGUGCAGGCAAGAUGGUCAUACCCUCAAAAUCACUACUAUCUUUGCUAUGCUAGUUUGCUCGCUCUUGUGCUUUGCCAAUGCUACGAUGCCUACCACUUUCUUGUCAGCCUCCCAAUUGCCAUGAUUGAGCCUCUAACCCACCUUUGUCCUAGCAAACCAUUGAUUGGCUAUGUUACCGCUUUGCUCAGCCCCUUCUUAUAGCAUUGCUAGUUGCAGGUGAAGAUUGGAGCCGUUCCUUGUUGGAACAUUUAUUUACUUGUUGGGAUAUCAUUAUAUUGCUAUGCUAUCUUUAUUCAUCUAUAUACUUGGUAAAGGGUGGAAGGCUCGGCCUCUCGCCUAGUGUUUUGUUCCACUCUUGCCGCCCUAGUUUCCGUCAUAUCGGUGUUAUGUUCCCGGAUUGUUGUGUCCCUUACGCGGUUGGGCUAUAAUGGGAACCCCUUGAUAGUUCGCCUUGAUUAAAGCUUUUCCAGCAAUGCCCAACAUUGGUUUUACCAUUUUCCACCUACCCUUUUCUUUCCCUUGGGUUUCCGGAGCCCGAGGGUCAUCUUUAUUUUAGCCCCCACGGGCCAGUGCUCCUCUGAGUGCUGGUCCCAUCGAGCGAUGUCCGGGGCUACCAGGGGCAACUCUGGGCUGGCCUACCCGACGUCUGGCUCAUCUGAGUGUGCCCUGAGAACGAGAUAUGUGCAGCUCCUAUCGGGAUUUGUCGGCACAUUCGGGCGGUGUUGCUGGACUAGUUUUGACCUGUCGAAUCAUCUUGUUGUACCGGGAUACCGGGUCUGAUCGGUGGGUCCUGGGUGGAGGUCUAUUCCUUCGUUGACCGUGAGAGCUUGUUAUGGGCUAAGUUGGGACCCCCUGCAGGGAUUGAUCUUUCGAAAGCCGUGCCCGCGGUUAUGGGCAGAUGGGAAUUUGUUAAUGUCCGGUUGUAGAUAACUUGAACCUUAAAUAAUUAAAAUGAAUUAACCGAGUGUGUUGCCGUGAUGGCCUCUUCUCGGCGGAGUCCGGGAAGUCGACACGGUGUUGGAGUUAUGUUUGCGUAGGCUGCUCUAUAUAGUUUCCGCUCGUGCUUUGCCUUCUCUCCUCGCUCUCCUUUGCGGAUAAGUUAGCCACCAUAUAUGCUAGGCGCUUGCUGCAGCUCCACUUACAUUACCCCUUUCCUACCUAUUAAGGUUAAAUAGUCUUGAUCGCGAGGGUGCGAGAUUGCUGAGUCCUUUGUGGCUCACAGAUUACUAUUACACCAGAUGCAGGGACCGAUGAUACCUCUCCGGAUGGCGCGCUCGAGCUGAAGUGGGAGUACGACGAGGAAUCUCAGCGUUACUAUGUGUCGUUUCCUGAUGAUCAGUAUGGAUGCCUAUUCGGGGUUCGAUUCAGGGUUUAGUCGCUUGUUGGGGGUCUUUUCUAUUUUGGCGCCAUAGUCGGGCCAUGAGUGUUUGUAUGAUGGAUGUUAUUUAUGUACUUUGAUGUGACGUGGCGAGUGUAAGCCAACUAUGCUAUUAUUCCCCUUUAUAUUAGAUAUGUACUUGGGUUGUGUAAUGAUUCCCGACUUGCGACAUUGCUUUCCAUGCGCCUAUGUCUCUAAGUCGUGCCUCGACACGUGGGAGACAUAGCCGCAUCGAGGGCGUUACAUCUAUCCAUCCAUG
rnacentral:lncRNA from 1 species